CCGAUGUCGACACCCAGAGAGUUUGUCUCCUGGCUCUGUCCUUGUGGCGUAUGGGAGCGUAGCCUCGCGCUAAGACGCACAUUCCCGUUCCACGACGUCGGAGAAAAAGUUCCGUCCCCGACUUUGCGGUCGGCGAGGACGGACGUCCUGUAUAUUCCUAGACCUUCCCAGAGUCCUUUGGGGGCCAUUACUGGGGAGGAAAACCAUGCAGGGCACAUUU